GGAAGCACAAUAGCCGAUGUGUUGGUGUCUCCGAUGACGGGCCGGGUGAAAUCUCCCAUGUACUCCAUGUUCUGAGCCAUCUCUUCUUUGUUUGUGUUCUGCUCUACUCGGUCAGAGGCAGAGCCGGCUUUCUCCUUUGUGUUCUGCUCUGCACGGUCAGAGCUGGCUUCAGAGUGCGCCUCAGAAUCAGAGUCAGAGUAUAACACGUCUGCUCUGGUAUGUGUCCGAGUGUUAUCCAGCGGGGACGUUAGUUUUCUUUUCAGACUACGGCGUCCCUGCAUACACAACACUUAACACACGGAUUAAACGCACCGGGUGGGAGGAAAAGAAAAGUAAAAAUAAAAACGUAAAGUAAAGAAAACAAGAAAAACGGAAAGAAAAGUGACACAAUUAAACGCCUAAAACCUUCCCCGGCAACGGCGCC
rnacentral:lncRNA from 1 species